CUAAAGGCCCUUUUCAGGGCCGCCCAUUUGCUUACAAAAGGAGUUG
rfam:Dipodomys ordii contig_70646, whole genome shotgun sequence.